UCGGUUUUUACUUUCCUUCAACCUUUCCUGUGGCCCUUUUGCUUCAAAGGAGGGAAACCUUUCUUUCCAACAUCCCUACUGAAACUUCUCCGUUUCCUGGCCACCUUUGCUCAGCUAAGACUUGUGGUGUUGACAGUGGAGCAUCAAAAAUCUGAGGCCCAGGUAAGGGUUGGGGCAGGCACUGUGGCCUACCUGAAAGGGGCUUGGCCUACAGUCUUGGCCUACAUUCUGAGAAACAUUACUAUUGAUUACACAGCUCCAUGCUGGAAAGAUUGACCAUACUCCAGUUACUUACACACAAAGAGACAUACUCUUUCUGCAGAAAACUAACAGAACCAUUCCCAGCCCCUUUUACAAAUAAUACUUGGUUGCUUACUUUUUGCAUCUUCUUCUAAGGUUGCACGCAUGGAGAACAAAGGGAAUAUCCUUGCCUCAGGCUUUCCUAACCUUUCAGUCUCUUUCCUUCUCCACUCCGCUGUAGAAAAUAAAACCUACAUAUAAUAUAUAUAUGAGAAAAUAAAUAGACUCACCGUUGCUGGUUUGGUAGCCUGUUUGCUCUAAAAGCGAGGGAACAAACUGAUUGAUCGAUACCGAUUCAGAAGAGCAAGGUAUUGCAAAUGCAUGCAUGUGGUUGGCCCACGUGAAAAUACAUAUACAGUACUGGAUUGGUAAACAGAUAUUGAGAACUGCAGCCUAUGCUCUGAAGUUUCUUAACAGGCCAUGAGGGACUCUUCUGAUUGCCAGGUGCAGCUGAUAACAUUCUGCUUAACCCUUUCCUAGCUUUAUAUGCCAGCAUUGUUACUUUGCUUUUUAAAACAGGCCCCCCCCCCCAAAUGAUGGGGGCAGGAACUGCUCUGCAAAGUGAUUUGUAACUGGCUGUGGUGUAGAGACAGCGGAUUGUUUCUGCAUCUCCUGUGGUGGCCAAUGACAGAAAAUUUCUCAGACUUAUAAACAAGUGAAAAUGUGUGUGGGGGGGGGUGUUUUUAUAUUCUAGAGGUCAGAGAGCCUAAUUAAGAACGUGGCUGCCACGGACAGUGUUUACUGCAAAGAAAGCAAUGUGUACCAGCUUUUGGCCAUCUAUCUCAUAACGAUAAGGCCAUCUCAACCCUGAACUCAUUGAAAUUCCAAAGGGCUUUGUGAACGAAGUAGGAAAAUGGAAGCUUCUUUUGCAGGUAAAUACAACUUCCAAGAAACUGGAGGGCAAGUUUCAGCACAGCAUUAAUAAAGUGCAAGAGUCCUCUGCUGUUGACAUUUGCCCCUCUGUGCUGAACACAAGUCCUGGUUCCAGUGCUUUUUUUCUUUUAAAAAAAUGAUUUUUAGGGGUACGCUCAUUUUCCUACUCAUAUUGAAAUACUGCCGCUCAAUGAGGCCAAACUUACAUUCACAAAAUGUUUAGGGGUGUGCGAUCCCCUGCGUCCCCCAAGAAAAGCACUGCCUGGUUCUAUGUAGAAGCCUAGGCUCUGCGCACGUAGGACCUACCACAGAUCAAUGGUAAUGCUCACCAAAUGUUGGAAAGGAAUCAGGAGCAAGAUGUAGGUUGCAAUUCUAGCUUAUGCACACUUAGGUGUAAGGACUCCAUUGAACCCAGUUAAACUUCUGAAUAAACAGGCUUAGGAUUUAUUAGUUUUUCUCUUCUCUGGUCUGUCCAUAACAAGGGCUACAAAGAGAAAUAAGAGCUGUGUCGGGGCCAGAGAUGGAAAUGCAUUUAAAUAGGAUGUUGGUUUUUAAAGAUGAAUUGUGCAGCUUCCUCUGCUGCACAGCCUAAUUUGUGAACCUAAUCAAUCCUUGGUUCAGCAAAGUGGUUUGUUUUUAAAAAGAGGUCUGCUUCUGACCCAUAAAAUGCUUGGCUUUUAGAAACUGAAUUUGAAAGAUGCUUUUAAAACAAUUGGAUAAUCAUGUCAUACCAGGAACAUGAUGUUGAAGCUAAUAUCAUUGCUGAAUGCACAACAAAUACCAUUAAAGCCCACAUUUUCUCUUUCAAUAGCUAAUUUUCUGAUCUCAGUCACAGGUGGUGCUAAAGUAAGCCUUUUUUAAAAAUCUGCACUGAAAUAUUUUCCCAUACACACAUUCACCAAAAAAACAACAACCCCAAAACCCCUAAAGACUAUGUAUUGCUGUAGUCUGGUAUAAAGUCUUUGUUAGGGAUGAUUACAUUUCUGUGGAGAAACAUAAUAGAACCAUCAUGGACUUUCUCCCAGACUACUUUUAUAUUUCAGAAAGGAAAAUCUGUCUUGAAGCCUUUAUAUUUAUUCAGCCCCCUUUUUCCUUUGUACCAACCAAGCCAGUGUAAGGUAAAGAUUCCCCCCCCCCUCCUUGAUGGAAAGUAAAUUGGAUGGAAUUGGACAUAAGGGAGGUUCAGGAUAAUUGUCUUCUCCCAGUGGAAAAAAACAAUACCCUCACUGGAAAUUGAACCUGGCAGAUUGCUAUGGCAUCCCUCGAUUUUGCAUUGGAUUGCCACUUACAUCUGUUUAUUAAGUACAAUUUUUCUAGGCAUUUCACAUUCAUUAGAAGCCGGUGCUAGUCCUGAAGAAUUUGCUGUGUAAUAGUUAUUCAUCCGCAAAUUGCACCCUACAUUUUCCUCCGCAAUCACUUUUCUGGCAGUAUAUUAUUAAUUAUGCAUAGCUUUCUGAAAGUACAGUGGGAAACUUUACAACUCUGAAAUUUGCACAUUUUGAAAACUCGGAGGAAGGCAGGAGCUCCCACACGCUGAAUAGUUGUGUAGAAGAAGGAAUUUCAUCAGGUGUUGCUUGCCCAACGAAAGCUCCCUCCCGCUUUUCAGCUGGCCAGCCCAUCCACCAUUUUGUUUGCCAGCAGUAAAAUGAAGUAUUAGCUGUGCUCCUUAAGCAUGAUUACUAGAAAGUAAACCUCCUUGGACUUACUUCUGAGUAUCCCAGUUAUAAAAGUAGCAGUAGGAAUGCAAUUUAUGAACCCUCUACUCCGAAGGUACUGUCCACAAUACUAAGUGGUCCUCUUUGAGUAGCUCUGCGUGGAAACUCAGUGGAGUGCUGGGGAUGGAUGUGUGAAAGCAAGAUUCAGAUCUCUAUUCCACAUAAAAGGUGGUGCAUCAUUAAUACAUAGCACCUGCUUAACUCCUCAUUGAACCAUGUAGAAAAAUAUGGGAAAUAAGAAAAGGCAGAUUACAGUACUUUAAAGUGAUUAAAAGUGAUUGAGGAGAUAGAGGCGUCCUGUGGAAUCCCAUUAUUAUUCUGGUCAGCCAAAUGUAUUGGUUUUAUUACUGGGUGUUCUUCUCUUCUACCUCUCGCUUCUCCCUGAAAGAUAAAGCACCUUACAAAAUACCUCUCAAUACCAGUUGCUGGUAUUGGAGAGUGGGGAGAGGGCUGUUAUGCUCAGCUCCCACUUCUGGGUUUUGCACAGGCAUUCAUCUGGUUGGCUGCUGUUGGACCAGAUGGGCCUGAUCAAGCAGAAUGCUUCUUAUGUGCUCUUGUUGAAGCUAAAUUAUCUGGUUUAAUCUGUAUUUCAUAUUAGACUACAGUGGUACAGUGGUGCCUCGCAAGACGAAAAGAAUCCGUUCUGGGAGUCUCUUCGUCUAGCGGUUUUUUCGUCUUGCGAAGCAAGCCCAUUGACGGAUUAGCGGAUUAGCGGCUUUUAGCGGCUUUUAGCGGCUUUUAGCGGCUUUUAGCAGCUUAUCAGCUUAUCGGAUAAGCAGAUAAGCGGCUUAGCGACUUAGAAAAAGAGGGGGGAAAGGAAAAAAAAACGCAGGAACUCGCAAGACAUUUUCGAAGCAAGCCCAUAGCAGAUUCGUUUUGCGAAGCACCUCCAAAACGGAAAACUCUUUCGUCUAGCGAGUUUUCCGUCUUGCGAGGCAUUCGUCUUGCGGGGCACCACUGUACCUAGGGUCACAGACGCUUCAGGUUACAGACCCCGCUAACCCAGAAAUAGUACCUCGGGUUAAGAACUUUGCUUCAGGAUGAGAACAGAAAUCGUGCUCCGGCGGCGUGGCGGCAGCAGGAGGCCCCAUUUGCUAAAAUGGUGCUUCAGGUUAAGAACAGUUUCAGGUUAAGAACGGACCUCCAGAAUGAAUUAAGUUCUUAACCCAAGGUACCACUGUAUAGCUAUUGUUAUUUUCAAUUUGGGGAGGUGCAUAAAAUAGAAAAAGCCACUCGUCCCUGUUUGUUCCAAGGAAGAGAAAUUCAACCCAGUUCACAUUUAAAGAUGAUUCUGCCUAAUAUGCAGUUUCUGAACUGAAAAGUAGUCAUUCUUCAAAAUCUCUGAAUUUUGCAAUGCAGUUCUCCAGCCAAUUAAUGUGUACAAAAAGGUAUAUACUAGGGUACAGUAUGCAUAUCAAUGCAUAUGCUACUGAAAAUAACAUACAAAAAUGAAUUAGGGGAAACUGUGUUGCAAAAAAAGUGCAUACACAUGAGUAUAUUAGGAUACAUGCCCCAUAAAAUAUUGAUGAAUUUUCAUGAAGGCUUAAAAAACAAACAAACUCAAAUUGAUGUGGAAAUGUGGAGAAUCCAUUGUCCAAGUAGUUACUUCAGAAAAAGUUGUAUCAGGGGACUUGCCAUCAUAGGGAGUACAAUCUGGCUGCAUCACUGACUUUCUUCCCGACUAAUGCUAAUAGCAUGUUCAAUAUUACCUUUAAUGAAGGUGCUCUAUUUGUUAAACACACUGUUGAUUUUCACGCCUUAGUUUCAUAAGGAUAGUUCUGUUUUUCCAGAACAUGACAUAUUUUCACAUUGUGAAAGUAAUACAUGCCCUCUUGCUGUAUGGAAACCAUGAAACUCUGUGUUGCUUUCAAAACAGUGUUGCUUUCAAAACAGUGGUAUAAUGGUUUCAGCAAGUACACCAGUAGGUGACAUUAAGCAUAAUGCAUAUUUUGAAGAAGUUAGGGGAAAUGGGAGGACCUGGCAUCAUACAUAUUGCACCCAUGAGGGUGUGUUUGAAAUGCACACCUAUUUAAAGGGUACUGAUUAACUUUGAAAAGCCAUCCCUACUAAAUUACUUAUCCAAGGACUGAUAAGAUGCCCAAUAUGUUCCCAGUAUUUUCUCUCUUUUGUUGCAAAAAACCCUGUGCAAGGUUUCCUAACAGAUUCCUCCUUCAGCUGCUUUUCAAAGUCUACCUCACUGAUUAACAAACUGGUCUUCAUAUGGUAGUGGCCUAUAACUGGAAAGAGAGGAACAGAGAAAUACAGGUGUAAUGAUGUUGCUUGCUUAACCCACCUGGUUUAUUAACCAUGGUUAAGCAAUCAGAAGUAAGUUAUGACAUACAUUCCUUUUCCCUCCAUAGCCUUUUCCUGGAGCACAAGCUUCCACCCUUCCCUGGCUGAGCUUAACCAGGGUUAACCAUUACAUUGGCAUUGAUACAAAACCACAGUUACAGCUAACCAGGAUUUCUGAUUAAUCCUAGAUCAGAAACUAGCUGCAGUGGUCAGAACAUGGGUUAGGCAAUCAAAGGACAGGAAAAAAGAAAAAGCAUUAGCACCAAGCAGUGCACCUAAUAUAGGUAUGUGUGGCUUAAGAUGAUUAUGGUCAGUUACAGCUUAAGUCUGUAUAAUCCUGCUGGCAAGAAAGGUUAAAGAAGGGCAACGUUAUUAAUCUUCCUUUUAUUUUCUGAAGCAGUGGAAGUCAAAUGGAUUUCCCCCCUCCAAAAUAAUUUCAUAAAAUUGGCCCUGAAUUCUUACAAAGUGCCAAUUUUUUCUCUACUGAUGCAAAUUUAGCUGAAUAACAGUGUGUGGUUUUUAAAAAUAGCAAUGUGAGGUGGUGAGUUAAGCUUUCAGCAUCUGAAAAUGAAAUUGUACUCAAUAUUAAACAUCGUUACAAGCCUUAAAGAAUGCUAGCUGGAGCCUGAAAGUCAUUGUAGUGAUGGCUUUGGAUUUCCACAGUACUCUACAUCAUUUUCAGUACAACAUUUAUCCCUUUAUGAACUGUGCAGUAUACAGUAGUGGCAAAUUUGAGCUACAAAUGUCCUGAGGAAAACAUUGCUUCAAUUGUAAACAAAGGGACACAACUGUAUUUCUGUGUGUGCCUUCACUCAAGAAAUUUCAGCAGUCAGGACAGACUUCUGACUUGUACACACAACAUUGGCACAGAGAUUUAAAAUCAGCUACAAACAAAACCCAUCCAACAAGGUCUUUCUCUUUAUUUUUAUCGAAAAAGAGGUGCCAGAACUCACCAUGAAUAUUUCAAUGUAUAGCUAGCUACUCACCACUCAGAUCUGUAGCUUGUGAUGCUAUAAUUUUGCUAUUUCAAGCUGCAGUGGCAUUAAACUGGCCUACAAGUUAUGCCUAUUCAGUGAUGUGCUAUGCUGGGACCAUCACUUGUUUUACAGGUGGGCUGCUUCCAGUGGUCAGUGAUUAGAUGUGGAGACUUGACAAGCUUAUCACAGAGACCUUAGUGUAAUUCACUUGAGACUUGCUCCUGUCACAUAAUUCAUAUGAGUGGGGAGACAGCUGGGGUGGGCUUGUUGCCCCUGCCCUCUCUGUCACAUCACCAGUAGCCCAUCUCUGCAGUCUUCUAUCUGUUUGGGAUAUACUUCUGUACUUGUGACCAUGCUGGGUUCUAAAUUGUGGGGGGCACCUACAUGAGUACAGCAAACUCUUUGCUCUGAAAGUUUAUCCCAAACAUGAAGGUGAGAGAGAGAGAUCACUGAGAAUGCAACAGGGAGUGUGGGGUAAAUGAGUAAACCCCAGUUGUCCCCUCACUCAUACGAUUAGAAUUGCAAGAGCGGAGAUGAGUUAAUACAACUUUUUCUGGGUCUGAAAAGUAAUAUUAAAUGUAACUUCUGGAAGAGAAAGGGUGCUGUCCGAAACAUUUUAGUGUUUACCUUUUUACUUUGUUUUACAUUAUAUUUACCCAAAAGUCAACCAGGUGGACAAUAGCAUGUGCUUAUGGUCCAGGCAACAUGCUACCUACUCUUUUGACACAGCAGGUUCUUGCCAACUGGCACAUCCCAGCAGGUUUUAUUUGUCAGGAGAAUGCCAGCAAGUGAAAAGUAGCCUUAUCACUGAAUUGUAGCUGUUGUGGAAUUAUAUGGUACUGUCUUCAGUGGAACUUCCUUGUAAUUCGUGUAGGAUCAGAGUGCACGAUGCUUGAAGGUUUCACAAGUAUUUCAUUGACCCUCAUGGUCCCUUCCAACUAUAGAAUUCUAUAAUUCAAUGUAAUGGGGAGUCUUAGCAGUAAAUCAGAAGCAAUCAGCAGUAAAACUCACUCAUCUUGCCUUACAAAUCAUUUUCCAGAAGGUGGUUAAAUAUCUAUUUCAUCACAAGUGCACUUAAAAAAAACAACCAACAACUAGAAAGGAACAUUUUACCACAAGACAAUGAUUGUCUAAUGCCUCCUUUUGAAGAUUUAGUCUCAUGACUGAAUAAAUUCCUCACCAUUUCAAGUUUCCAAGUUGGAGCAGGAAGCAUGUGCUGUUCUAGGUAACAUUCCUGUCUGUGGCGUCAGUUAAAGCACACAAAUGUUAGCACUAAGCCAUCGGCUCUGCUUGCACAACACUUUGGAAACAUUUUCUUGUGACACGGUUUAUAAACCCUUAAAUAAGUAGGAAGGUGUCAGAGAUGAGCCAGGGUGAUAAUUUACGUAGAAGGAAACGACUAGCAGUUGAAGAGUUUGACCCCCUUUGCCUUGCUGUUCCUCCAGUCAAAAUUUCAUGUUCUCCUGAGAUCAUGUUAACAACAUAGGUUGUCAUCAUUGGGAUCAUCAAAGUUGGGGUCAUCAUCGCACUUACUAGUAUUUGAUGUGCGGUUUUUGGAAAAUAAAGAAGGGGUAAACAGGAGACCUAUGAAACAUCAGUGAUCUUCUCACCUUAGACAUCCAGUGUAGGAGUAACACUAGCAUCAUUUCACUCUGCAUUGCCAGGGUAAUGUGAGAGGCCUUAUGCCAAGCCCACAGUGCUCUUCCUGCCAACAUCAGUGUUGUUGUUCCUGAAAGUGCAACAGAGUUGGCGUGGGAAGGAGCUGCAACACAGGCCUUUCGCAUGUCAAUCCCUCCGGCAUAAGAAUUUGUGGUACUGCAGCGCCUGUGCUGCCAACAUAAUGUGUCUUUGCCCUCCUAGGCCAAACAGUUGGAAAUUGCUUUUUUGCAAUAAGUCUGUGGCCUGUUUGAACUCCAGCUUUAGGCCUUUGUUCUCCUGGGGAGUAGAAUUGGCAUUUUAAAAAAGUUUUGUUUUUGAGGUUAUUAGAUAUUUAACAACUUUGCUAAAAGGAAUGUAUUGUUCUUACAUUUAUUUACUAUCUAGUGUAACAAGACCAUAUAUGGGAAAAAAUUUUAAAAGGCAUUUAAAAGGAAGCUUCCUAGAUUUUUUUUUUAAAUCCCUAAGGAUGCUAGUUUGUUUUUUAAUCCCUAAGGGUUAUAUACUGAAAACAAACUGUUUUAGGUGGCAGAUCUUUUUGAAAGAUUAAACUAAUGGAGGUUUUAAAAUGUUGUGAUUUAGUUAACUUCCACAAUGUUUGAUGUAUUUUUAAUUAAAAACAGUUAAUUCUUACAGGGAUUUGAACUCUUUGCUUUUGACGUUUGAGGGAAGCAUUUUACUCAAUAAAUGAAACAGACCUCAGUCCCGAAACCAUAUUCUCAGUCCCAUUGAAAUCAAUUAGGAUUGCAGCCAUGUUCUUUGAUAAGGAGCCAUGCCAACAGUUUAGCAGCAGGUAUAUAUUUAGGAUACAAUAAUUAAAAAGCCAUAGCAUAUGAAUAAAUAAGUGACUCUGGAGUUUGAACAAAAUCUGACCCUGAUUUAUGAAAACCCACGUGAGAAUCAUAAAUCGGCUUUAGCAGACUUGUCUUUCCUAAAGCCAAAACCAAUAUUUUGGUUAUUUAAAAAUAUAUAGAGCUUGUUAGUUUAACUGAGUGUCUCUUUACACUGAAAUUAUGAAGAAGGAAAAACCAGUCAGCUUGUUUCUUAAUUAAAACGGCAAUAUGACUUUGGUGGAGACUGACAAAACUUUGGUGGUCUUAAAAAAUUGUUAUGCCGGCUACUUUAUGCAAUCAUUGUCUAGAAUUGCCACCUUUUCGCAUAGCAAGCCAUAUGUCAUAGCCCCUUUCACUCAUUGGGGGUCACAUGUUCCCUGAACAUGGGGGUGGGACUACACUAGCUAGCCGUGCACCUGACAUCAUGCCCAACACCACCUAUGCAGUCAUGUCAACAUCUGCAGAAUGCAUGUUUAUGCAUGGCAGGUGGAUGCAUUAAGGUAUGGGUAGGCAAACUAAUGCCCGGGGGCCGGAUCCAGCCCAAUCGCCUACUAAAUCGGGCCCACGGACGGUCCAGGAAUCAAUGUGUUUUUGCAUGAGUAGAAUGUGUCCUUUUAUUUAAAAUGCAUCUCAGGAUUAUUUGUGGGGCCUGCCUGGUGUUUUUACAUGAGUAGAAUGUGUACUUUUAUUUAAAAUGCAUCUCUGGGUUAUUUGUGGGGCAUAGGAAUUCGUUCAUCCCCCCCCCCCAAAAGCCCCCCACAAGGCCCCCCCACAAGGUCUGAGGGACAGUGGACCGGCCCCCUGCUGAAAAAGUUUGCUGACCCCUUAGGAGAUUAUGUUCUCUAGCCUUCAUCAUAAAUCUAUCAAAAAGUAAUGUUUUCCCACAUUAUAUAUACAUCUAAAGCAAUUCCUUCAUAUCUAUGUGUGUGACACACACAGGAAGUCAAAUACACAAGGCCCUUUCAGACAUUACAUCACAUGCACACAUAUCUAUGGUGUAGGUAUCCUCUUCAGAUAUUCACCCUGAAAUAUGACAUCCUUGUCUCCAAUGGCCCAAGUGUAUCCACUCUACCACCACCCUUCCUAUGCUAAGUGGGAGGAAGAUAUCCUAGAACACACUUAGAAGACACACUGAGACCAGGAACUCUGAUAAUGCAGACUAACCAAUCAUGGGGAGGCAUUUAAAAGCAUUUAGCCAAAUCAACCAAGUAGCUCCCUUUAGAUUAAGGCUUCCUAGUGAUUCAGAACCCAGAAUGUGCAGAUCUUCCUUCUGCAGCUCUUAGCCAUGUGUGGAUGUUGGGAGUGGGAUCAGCAAGGAUGUGUGAUGCAGGGGAAUGAAUUAAUAAGCACAAGAGUCAUAAGAGUCAUAACAAGUGAAGAGAGCUUGUUGAGACUACAGGAUAAUCAUUGGGUACCUUUUGUUUUAAAUAUUUUCAUUGUUAAAUUUGGAUGGUCGACAAGAGUGGAAUCAGAUUUCCAGUGCUCCUUACCACCCUGUAAUAAUCUACAUAGCAAAUUCAGUUUUCAGGGGGGCGAAACUAACACCGUUGUGUGUUAACAUUUUUACAAAAUAAUGACUAGCCUUCCCUUAUUUUGAAAGUAUAGUUGUUGCAUUUUCUGUGCCUUAAGAAGCCCCUUUACCCUUUAGACAUCUCUCUUAGAAAUUAAAGUGGGUUUGAGUGAAGUUUGUUUGAUAAGCAGUUUGUGCCUUCACAUAAAAUACGGACAAAGUCUGCUGUGUGUGUAUAUGUAUGAGACAAAGCUCCAAAAAAUGAACAGUCCGGAAAUAUUUCUGACAACAAUCGUAUUGCCCAUUGACCCCUCUACACAUGGGGGCUUUCUGAGACAUAACACGGUUAUGUUUUCUUGUGGGACACUGAAACAUGGGUUUUUAUCCGUAUUUUUAUUUAUGUUUUAUUUUAUUUAUAUUUCAGUAUAUAUAUGUGUUAUGCAAAAUGAUACCUUAUAUAUGCCUACUUGAGGAAUACAUGUUAUUACAUGGUAAAAUUUUAUUCUUCAUUUUUCCUGACAUCUAAUCUCCCUUCUCUUCUACCCCCCACCCCAAUCUCUGAAGACGAUGCUGGAUUUGUUGUGAUGAUUGUCUGGAUUAACACUGCAAAGCCUAUUUAAUAAGAUCAUCCAAAAAUAAAUUGAAAAAAGUUAAAGGAAGUUAAAGCCGCAUGCUUGAAUCAAAGGAAUCGCCAUUUUGGGACAACCUUGUCUUCCUCCCCCCCUCGCAGUCCAAUUAGAUAAAUUAAUGAUCACGUUUCUUUCAUUGAUUGUCCCUUGAUCUUAAUGUUCUCUUUCUUUACUUAGUCUUUCAGUCUUUUGACUUCUUUGUUCUUUUUUAUUGAAAGUGCUGGGCUAUAAGAUUAUGUUGAAAUGAAAAGAAAUGCUAGUGAAGCACAAAGUAUUUGAAUUCUCUAGAAAGUGGUUUUCCAUAUAAAUUGCUGAUUUUUAUUCUCUGCACCUAUCAAUGACCUCUUGUACCUUUCUUCAAAGAAUUAUCUGCGUGUUCUUUCCCCUUCCCUCCCUUUCUGAUGUGCUCAAUAUUUGUUGAGACUGAUUUUUAUUUAAGAAUAAGCAAUAUUUAAUUAAUCAGAAAUCUAUUUUUCCAGCCAAUGUUGUUACAGAGCAGUAUGGAAAUGUGGUAAAGAAACAAAAUAAAUUAGCAGUUCAAUAUAUUUUUUCUUCCCACAUCCCAGUGUUGCAGACAGGACCAGGUCCAAUACAAGUAUUAAUAACAGCCCCACAGGAUGUUUCUGGCAGGAAACGUGGAUACCUGUGCAUACUUAUUGUCUGUAAUAAUAUAUGAUAAACCAGAUGCUGUAAAUAAACAAUAUUAUAGGAGAUUACUAUUGCCUCUGCCCAACUUUCCUCUUCUCAUUGCGUGUGUUGAUGCCAAAAUCUGCCCUCUAAUUUUUGCAAGUUUUCUGCUCUCUGCAAAAGAGGUUUUUCCAGAAUUUUGAUGGGGAUGUACAAAUGAGCUGCAAUCCAUACUAACAUUCAUUCACACUUUUUUCUGGCAUUUUUCAUUCCACUGCAAUUAUUUCCAGAGGAGAAGCUUGCUUAGUCUUUUGCAGCAAAACCAAAAAAGGGUCUUGUGGCUACUUAAAGAAAAGACAAAAUUAAUGAAGUGGCUAGUGACCCAUCACAAAGUCAUCUGUAGCUGCAAUUCUAACCAUGUCUACUAAGAAGUAGGUCCCACUGUAUUCAAUUUGAGAUUGAAACCUCACUAUUUUGAUUCUGCAGUUCGGUAUUAACUUAAUCCUGUCACUCAGGCAUCUGAGAAGCUCAGUUUAGCACCCUGCUGAUAUUUUGUUCUUUGAGUUCUGGGUUGCAUAAAUUACUCUUUCACUCAUGUAAUGCCACUUAACUACAUAUAAAGGCCAUUUUAUUUUAAUAUUUUAUUUCAUAAAUGCAUAUGCUGUGAACCACUCUGAGCUCUUCGGAUGAAGGGCGGUAUACAAAUUUAAUAAUAAAUAAAAAAAUAUUUUAGAAAUAAAAUGGUUAUACAGUGGUACCUCGGGUUAUAUCCGCUUCAGGUUACAGACUCCGCUAACCCAGAAAUAGUACCUCAGGUUAUGAACUUUGCUUCAGGAUGAGAACAGAAAUCGUGCUCCAACGGCGCGGUGGCAGCAGGAGGCCCCAUUAGCUAAAGUGGUGCUUCAGGUUAAGAACAGUUUCAGGUUAAGAACAGACCUCCGGAACGAAUUAAGUACGUAACCAGAGGUACCACUGUAUAUGUGUGUUUGCUAAAACAUAAUGCUCAAGAUAAUUCAUCUCUAAAUUACUUUGGAGAUGGGUGGUUAAAUUACUUUGGAGAUGGAUGGUUAAAACUGAGCAGUCAAAUCUAUAUGGUUCUCAUUCUGAUGAAGAGGCUCAAAGGUAAUAAAAGUGAUGACUUCUUUUCAUGUGAAAAGAACAAUAAAAAUUGAUGCAUUCUAUUAUAUUUAUUUUAAAAACACACAGUAGGAAGCAGAUUAAGGCUGCAAUCCUAACCUCACUUACCUGGAAGUAACCCCCAUUGAACUCAAUCGAACUUAUUUCUGAGGAGACAUAGUUAGGAUUGCAGCCUUGGUAAAUAUAGGAUACUUCUAGUAAUAAUAAUAAUAAUAAUAAUAAUAAUAAUAAAUUUUAUUUAUAUCCCGCCCUCCCCAGCCGAAGCCAGGCUCAGGGCAGCUAACAACAAUCAAAUAAUCAAACAAUCAAAUAAUCCAACAUUCUAAAACAUUUCAUUAUAAAAAUUAAUUAAAAUCAAAUUAAUGGCAACCGUUAAGCAAAAUUCUGUGCAGGUUGCCAGAGGAGGGAGUCAGGCUGGGCCCUGACCAAAGGCCUGGUGGAACAACUCUGUCUUGCAGGCCUUGCGGAAAGAUGUCAGGUCCCGCAGGGCCCUAGUCUCUUGUGACAGAGCGUUCCACCAGAUUGGAGCCGCAGCCGAGAAAGCCCUGGCUCUAGUUGAGGCCAGCCUAACCUCUCUGAGGCCUGGGACCUUCAGGAUGUUUUUAUUUGCAGACCGUAGGUUCCUCUGUGGGGCAUACCAGGAGAGGCGGUCCCGUAGGUACGAGGGUCCUAGGCCGUAUAGGGCUUUAAAGGUUAAAACCAGCACCUUAAACCUGAUCCUGUACUCCACCGGGAGCCAGUGCAGCUGGUAUAGUACCGGAUGAAUGUGAUCUCGCAGCGAAGACCCCAUAAGGAGUCUCGCUGCGGCAUUCUGCACCCGCUGGAGUUUCUGGGUCAGUCUCAAGGGCAGCCCCACGUAGAGCGAGUUACAAUAAUCCAGUCUGGAGGUGACCGUCGCGUGGAUCACAGUGGCUAGGUCAGGGCGAGAGAGAUAAGGGGCCAACUGCUUAGCUUGGCGGAGAUGAAAAAUGCCGCAUUUGUUAUAGCUGUAAUCGGCGCCUCCAUAGAGAGGGAGGUCUCGAAGAUUACACCCAAACUCUUAACGGACGGUGCUGGCCCUAAUUGCACCCCCGCACGAGAUGGGAGGUGCCCCCCCAAUCCCAUAUCGUCCCGUCCCAGCCAGAGGACCUCUGUCUUCGAAGGUUUUAACUUCAACCGGCUUCCACGUAACCAUCCAGCCACAGCUUCCAAACAUCUGGUCAGUGUGUCUGGGGCCGAGUCAGGAUGGCCAUCCAUCAACAGAUAGAGUUGGGUGUCAUCGGCAUACUGAUGGCAACCCAGCCCAAAACUCCGGACAAGCUGGGCGAGGGGGCGCAUAAAGAUGUUAAAAAGCAUCGGGGAGAGUAUCGCACCCUGAGGCACUCCACACACCAAGGAGUGGCGCGAUGACAAUUCCCCCCCCAAGCGCCACCCUCUGUCCCCGACCAGAGAGAAACGAGCGCAGCCAUUGAAGGACUGUGCCCUGGAUCCCCACGUCGGCAAGGCGGUGGUCCAGGAGUUCGUGAUCGACCAUGUCGAAGGCUGCUGACAGGUCUAGAAGAAUCAGCAGCCCCGACCCGCCUCGAUCCAGCUGCCUGCGGAGAUCAUCUGUUAGGGCGACCAGAGCCAUCUCGGUCCCAUGACCAGCACGGAAGCCGGACUGGAAUGCAUCCAAGCACCGGAUGUAGUUUACGACAGCUGAAUUCCUGCUAUGUCUGGGAAAUUCCGGACAUAUGGCAACCCUAUUCCGAUGCAAUUUAUGUGUGUUUUUAAACAUGUCUACAAAUGUGACAUCAAGACUGGCAAAGUUAACCUUCUGUGUGGGAAUCCCUUGCAGAUGACUGCAGUGCCUGGAGACAGUUGAGUUGUGUUUCCACAGCAGUGACCAGAGGAGGAAUGACCACUGGGAGGUGCACAGAGAGAAGAAAUGCCACGGUACAUCUGCAUCAGCACAACCGGAUGCUUUCAUCUGCCCCAGCUGCAACAAAACUUGUCUCUUCCAUUUCAGUCUCUACAGCCACAGCAGGCACUAUAACACUCCAACAGUUUGAUUUUACCCCUGAUGGCAUACUCUUCCAUUGUCUCUUGAAACAGAUGGAUGCUAACAAUGUCCUUUUUAGAAGAGAAAAAAAAAUCUGUUGUAGAGAACUAAGGGGGAAAGCAUUAAUAGCAAGUGUCCAUUCCUUAAUGAGGGUCAAGUUAUUUCCACCUGCUUCCUGAUAUCCCUAAUGUGGACUUUUGAGGUUAUUUUAUCUUUGAAGUGGCCAAGAGUAGGGUGUGUGUGUUUUUCUUUCCUGUAAACAUUUUCCGACACCCUUAAACCUCUCCGACUGUUGGGAUACUGCCAGGGAGACGGAGGCAUCAGGCAGGCCCCAGGUUAUCUCCGGACGAUCACUGGUCUCCCAUGGAACAGAAUCAGUCAAUUAGCGACAUGAGCCUCAGAGAUGUUCCAAGACCCGUGCACACACUUUCAGCAGAGUGUCUCCACAACGAAAGAUGCAGGCAGAGAGAGAGCGUAUUUACAGCUCUAUUCAACGUGUUCAGAACAAAGGAAAAACAUGACUGCUCGCCUCCGUGUUCAGGAAAAUAGCCAGAAUACAAAAGCUAUAUACAAAGGAAGUUCCCAGCAGACAAUGCUGGGAGUAAACAGGCAUGUGAUACACAACAGUCAUGCCUGACCCUUUUAAGGUGGAAUGGAACUAUCUCUUAACACUGACUGCCCACACUUCCUGAUAUGAAAAAGGCCCAUGGGAGGAUUUGCCUUAUGAUAUUUUCCCCUGGACAUCUGGAAAGGUUGAGUACAGAUCACUGGAGAGAUUAUUUGUAUAGUGAAAGAAAGGGCACUUGCAGCCACCCAUCAGCCACCUCAAAAUUAAGGAAAGGGUAACAAAAACUCUGUGCCCCACCCAUAGGUCCCAUUUUAUUGUUCCAUUUGGAUAAAAUUUCCAAAUGCAAUUUCUCAGUAAUUGGUGGAGAGUGGGUGAAGAAAAUGCAUGAGAAGUUUUCGAGCCAGCCAUAAUUCAUUGUACAUGGAGGAAUGUGUGAAAACCCCUCUUUUGAUCACAGAUUAUUCACUUGAUUACAAAUGGGAGGCCUGUGCUCCUUUGUAUUCGACAUGUGAGAAUUGUAAACCUCAGGCACAGCUUUUAAUGAUGCCGUAUCAGUUUUUCUUUUUGGAGAAGAACAGAAGAGAUCAGAGAUAUGACUUAAAGAAAACAAAGCCAUAAGCUUUGAGUCCAUAGCAUUCUUUCACUGGUGCUAGUCUAAAUGACAAUUUUUUCCUACUCCAACUAGAAAUUGGCAAAAACAAUCCCACUUUGAAGCCUGUUUUGCUGGCUCAGAAGAAAACGUCCAGAGAAAAUCUAUCAUGCUCUUUGGCUUUUCUCAUUAGUGCUGCAUUUCUGGCUCCAGCUACAGAUUCUGUAUGUAUCAGUCCAUGGAGUCCUAUCACCUAUGCUGUUUGUAAAAUCUGUUUGCUGUUUGUUGAUGUUUUAAAGGGCUUUUGAUGAAUGGGUGGCAGCUAAACUGUAGUAAAUACUAGGGAUAAGUUUGAGUUAUCUGUCCAGAUGAACUCUAGCAAGGGUUUUUCUGAAGAGAUUGAAUGAGGUUUGUACAUCUGUAACAAAAGAGUCACCUGGUGUUGAAAAUAUACAGUAUAGUGUUGUCUGAGUUGCAUUUAAUCAUCUGAGCAUGCACCUGCAUUGGCCAAAAUUGCCUCCAUUUUGAAUGGGUCAGGGAACACGGUUGCCUUCAGGCAGUAUCAAAACACCUAAAACUAUAUUGCCUGCCCUAUUGUUCUUUGAUCUUGGCUCAUAUUUUGCCCUGGAGCUGGUUUUCAGGUAAGUCUUGCCAGAAGUAGAUAGCCAAUACAGUGGUACCUUGGGUUAAGUACUUAAUUCGUUCCGGAGGUCCUGAAACUGUACUUAACCUGAAGCACCACUUUAGCUAAUGGGGCCUCCUGCUGCCGCCGUGCCGCUGGAGCACGAUUUCUGUUCUCAUCCUGAAGCAAAGUUCUUAACCUUAGGUACUAUUUCUGGGUUAGCGGAGUCUGUAACCUGAAGCAUAUGUAACCUGAAGCGUAUGUAACCCGAGGUACCACUGUAUAGCAAUGUCCUUUCGGUUCAGUCAUGGAGAUGUUGAAGCAUGACCGUUUACUCUCACACUGUUUCUUCGCUCUUAUGUAUGGCCUAUUGUGAAGCAAGCUGUUAAUGACCUGUCUAUUCUCUUACCUAGAGCAGGUGUGGGGAACCUUUGAUUCUCCAUAUAUUGCUGAACUGCAUCUCCCAUCAUCCCCGGCCAUUGCCCAUGCUUGCUGGGGCUGAGGGGAGUUGUAGUUUAGCAACAUCUGAAGGACCAAAGGUUCCUCACACAUGCCUAGCUCAAUACAUGCUCUAGGUCAGAACAGUGUGCUUUUGUGUUUCUUUGCCAUUUUACAUUCUUUGUGUUCUCUAAAAACCUAAAUAAUGGGCUGCCAGUGGCUUAUCCCCAGGGAUGGGGAACCCAUGGCUGUUGAACUCAUUCCUAUCAGCCCCAGCCAGUGGUCAGGGAUGCUGGGAGUUGUAUUCCAACAACAUCUGGAGGGCUUCAAGUUCCCUCACCUUCUUACCCCAUAAUUUGUAAUAGGUGAGUUUCUGCAGCACAAGGAAGAAGUAAUUCUAAAAUUCUGUCCAAUGAAAGUUAUCAGCAAAUCUUUCACUUGUCUAUUUGUUUUUGUGUUGGUAUUAAAUGGAUAACGUGGCAUGUGUAAUGAAAGAGAAAAUUAAAUACAAUGGAUAUUUAACUCUGUUGGAGGAAAAAACACAAUUUAAUAGUGUUGCUGAUCUCUUCAUGCUAGCAAAAGAGGAUGAGCUUUCAGACCAGCAGGGAAAUGAGUUACACAAAUUGUUGUGCGUUUGCUGUUCGAUUACCAUGUGUACCAUGAUAGCUUUGCCUUUGCCUAAAAUAACUUCAGAUGGGAAUUUGACAGAAAAGAACCUUUGUGUUCUUUAAUGACUAUGGAUAUUUCACCUGCAGGGCCUAUUGGCAGAUGGCAAAUGAGGCACAGUAGUUUCGAAUUUGCAAACAGAGAAAGCUGUGAAGUUGGCUGAAGCAGUGUUGGAUGUACAGGCCCCCUCUGUAGAGAUCUGAUGUGAAACAGUGGGGGUCUUCUGCCUUGUAGGAAGAGAGAACCAGCAUAGAGUAGUAGUCAGAGUGUUGGACUAGGACCUGGGAGACCCGGGUUCAAAUCUGCACUUGGCCAUAAAGCUCACUGGGUGACCUUGGGCUAGUCACUCUCAUUCUAACCUACCUCACAGGGUUAUUGUGGGGAUUAAAUGAAGAGGGGGAGAACUGUGUCAGUCACUUUGAGCUUUAUGGAGAAAAAGGUAGGAUAUGAAUGCAAUAAUAUUAUAGGAGUGAGUGCCUGCUUUUUGCCUCCACUGAUUCUCUACUUGCAUAUUACAAGGACUGCCACUUGAUUGUAAUAAAACCUCAAAGUGAUUUAUGAAAAGUAUAAAAACAAUACAAUUAUCAGUGAACAAACCACUUAGAAACAAGUAUUUAAAACAUUAAAAAAAUUAAAACCAAUAAUAAGCUAAAACCAGAUUAAAACAUAUGACAGCUUCUACACGUCUCCAUAGGCUUGCCUAAAGAUACUUUUAGCCAAAAAGAGUUUGUCAUAUUUUCUACUCACAACAAAGUUGUGAAGAUAGUUUACGUCAAUAGUGUAACUGGCCCAAGACCAACUGGUGAGCUUCACGGGAGACAAAGGAUUUGAAGAAUAGCCUCUCUGGUCCAAAUUUACCACACUAUGCUGGGUCUUUCGGAAGAGGACUAUUGGCUGCAUCUUGAUUCCUACAUGAGCAAGUCUUAAAUGAAUAGUUGAUCCUCUGUAAAAACCAAUAUGCCAUAUUUUGCUCUGUUUCCCCAUUUCAUUCAUGUUCAUCUAUCUUCAUAUACACUAUGUUGCUACAUGAUAUUUCUGUUAUGUUUUGAAACGUUAAGCUAUUUCCAGAGACAUUUAGAGCAAUUUAUUAAGAGCUAAACAAUCAAGCCUUCCUAAACUGUCACGCCUGAACUGGGAAAAGGAAGGGAAAGCACCCAUAAUCUUGCAGAUGUUAAUAAGAAUUAUUCUUUUCGAGCACUCCAAAGGCAACACAAUUUGUUUUUAUGGGUUGUUAAUAGCUUUAAGGAAAGUAGAGUAGUCAAGAAGAGGGUGGGCUGGAGAAUAGGCAAGCAACUGAAAUUGUUUUUUGGCAUUUCUCCUUGUGCUAUGCUGAUCCAGUUGCCAAAGACUGUGAAGCUGAAAAAUGACAGAUUAAAACUUAAAAUAAAUUAUGAUUAUUCAAAAGUUCCACCAUGCUCCUCCUAAAAGAACAAAUUCCUAUAUAUUUAAAAACUGUCAGUCAGUUCCUUUGUCUUCUGAGGAGAUUACUGGGAAAAUGCCCAGUCAGUCUAAAUCUGAAUCCCUUGAUUACUCUAUUUAUUGUUUGUGUAGCUCAUUAAAUGUGCAGAAUUUUUAUUCUCACAGCAGGCUAGUGGAGUAGGUCAAGGCUACAACAGAAAAGCUGAAGCUCAGAGAAGCCAUCUCCAAAGGAUGGGAGUGGGGUCUUUUUUUUUUUGCUUUUCAAAUUUUUGUCAUGCAAAUGGUCAAACAAUCUUCAGCACUGUGUGUUUGUUUGUUUGUUUGUUUGUGUGUAUAGAUAGAUGAUAGAUAGAUAUUGUUAGAUAUAUGUCUCCUGUUUUCCAUUUGCACCAUGAUCACACAUGGUAAAUGAAUGGCACAUCAGACGUUGAUGCAUUUAGUGUUUUAUAUGUGAAAAAUUCUCGUAAUGUUUUUUGGGAGGUAACUAGCAGGUUCAGUACAGGCAAAAGGAUGCAUUUCUUCAGAUGGCACAUAAUUAACUUAUGGAGUUCACCUCUGAAAGCCACUAGCCUAAAAGGCUUUUUAAAAGCCUUGAUACAUUUCAAAAUGGAUUCCAUCAUGUAGGAGAAUAGGUCUCUUAAUGGUUACUGACAUUAUAUCCAAAGAUAGUGAAUACCUCUAAUUGCCAGAUUAUUAGGACAGACGAGGUGUAAACAUCACUUUUGUUUGUUUGUGAACAUUUAAAGGCAUCUUCCAGGCUACUGUUGGAAAUGAAAUGGAUAUUGAUCAGAGCUAGUAAAGUAAUCCUUAUUAAUACGUAUGUAUUUAUUUAUUACAUCUAUAGGUAGCCCAAGGACCAAAUUUCUCUUUACACUAAAUGUAGGGUGUGCACUUGCAUGUCAAAAUUUUCCCUAUGUCCUUUUUGAAAGUAGCAACCAACUGUACCUCAGGGUUAUCUGAAUUAAUUUUAUUUGCGCUGAUCCAUUCCCGAACUGCCUUAAGGCACUAGUUUGUCAUCUCCACUGUCUCUCUGGAUUUAGUAGAUGGGAAGGGUAUGUGGAGUUAUAUGCCUGUAGAUGACACAUUAGCCAAACCCUCCAGAUGACCUCUGGAGAGCCAGUGUGGUGUAGUGGUUAAGAGCAGUAGAUUCGUAAUCUGGGGAACCAGGUUCGCGUCUCUGCUCCUCCACAUGCAGCUGCUGGGUGACCUUGGGCCAGUCACACUUCUCUGAAGUCUCUCAGCCCCACUCACCUCACAGAGUGUUUGUUGUGGGGAAGGAAGGGAAAGGAGAAUGUUAGCCGCUUUGAGACUCCUUCGGGUAGCGAUAAAGCGGGAUAUCAAAUCCAAACUCUUCUUCUUCCUAGUAGUUUUCAUGUAGAUGUUAAAAUUCACGAAAGACCAGAUGGAACCCAGUAAUACCCCACAAGCUAGUGGUCAUGGGAUCAGAUAGCACAACUUUGGGCAAUCCUCCCCUCCCCCAGGAGGCCUCCCCACACUUUGGACUCAGCUAGAUUGGUAAAGAAAAAGCAAUUUAUGUGUUGUAUGUGUAAUAUAACAUUGUGUCACCAGAUGGUACUGUGGAGUCCCAUUUUUCUCUACCUGUUUGUUGGGUUGAAAUAACGACAGACGAGUAGCAGGUGUCAUGUGAGAGGCAUCUCCCGAGCAAGUCCCGAGGAGACUCUUUUAUUGAAUAUUACAACAUUGCCACAGGUGCGCUCGUUGCUGAUUGGUUGACACAAAUACAAAGCAAAGGUUACAUAUAGGCAUUAAUCACCAAUAGAUUAAAGGCUGGGAAAGGGAGCACAGAACUAGACAGGCAUGAAACCUCCUAAUUAAAUUAUAACUAGUGAUUGAUUAUCAUGACUUGAAAGAACAUAACAAUCACAGUCCGUAGAUGUGGUCAACAAUGCGUUAAGAACAGGUCAAGGUACACUGUUUCAUGAACUCAAUGGGAACUGAUCAGAACAUUCUCAGACUCAUGUGCAGCGGCAAAAACUUCCCAGCAUCUCCCCCUUUCUUUUCUUAUUUGCGAGGUGUUACUAUAUGAUUUAUGGGUGAAUAAGACAAAAAUACUUUGGGAUACGUGGUAUGCCAGCGCAUGCCCGAAAUAAGUCUGCCAGGGUAGACGGGACAAAAAUACUUUGGGAUACGUGGUAUGCCAGCGCAUGCCCGAAAUAAGUCUGCCCACCGAUGCUGUUAUGUGAUUUCAGGGAGAAUGGGACAAAAAUACUUCGGGAUACGUGGUUUGCCAGCGCAUGCCCGAAAUAAGGCUGCCCACAUCUCCCCUAAUGUUUACUGUUGGUGCUGCCACUUCGCAAAGUAGGCAGCAAUUAUUUUAUUGGGUGGCUGAGGGGGAGAGAGAAGCCGAGACAAAAGACUUAUGAGACCAGGAACGCAUUGGAUGAAGCAACAUAGCAAAAUUAAUAUACAUAUUAUGACAAUGGCAUAUUGAAAGAGAUUACGAAGCCAAUUCAAGUUUGGUAACCAACCGGUCAGCCACUGGGUGAAUGAAUACCAGAGGCCAGAAAAUCCAACGUCCUGUUUAAUGUGGUGUGUAAGAUUUUGCAAAUGAGAGAUUUGCUUUUGAAUGGCUUUAGAAUUAUCAGUAAUAUUGAAACAACACAUGUCAUUCACUUGUUCACAGCCAUAAUGAUGAAGCAUGAGCAAAUAGUGAUAGCAGCACGAUUUCAUAAAAGUCCAUGGUGGAGUUCACUCUGUUCUUUAUUCAAAAGGUGAAGAGCUUGUGAAGUAAAAUUCAGGGCUUUUGCUGCAGAACAAGCUAAAGAAUUAAUGUUCAUACGAUUCCAUACAGCCAAUCCAGGGACUCCUAAGAGAGAAACAGCUAAAGAGAUAUAUUCAGACCUACUGGGAAGAGAGACAAAAGCAUCACAAUCAUUAGUCAAUUCAAUAGAGUGGCGAUAUCUAGAGCGGGUCAAAUGAUGUUUUUUGGGUAAUACGAUGGACAAGCGGCUUAAGCAACAAGGUGUGCCAUGGCUAAUGUUUGCUGGAAUAUAAUUGAAUGUAUAGCCUGGACACGACCAGAUUUCCAGUUGAGGGGAAAUGCAAGCUUACUCAUUAAAUUGAAUGGUAGCUUGUAAUUGUUGUUUAAAUUUAUAACACAUUUAACUGAAACGCUUCUUUGAUGUGUCUGGCUUCCAUCCCUUAUCUCAUAUAGUUUAGGAGGCCCCCUGCCCUGCCAUAGAGACCUUUCAGAGGGCACAGGAGACAGCAAGUGAGCUUUCCUACUUUGUGUACUUUCUUUGGUUUACUUAUCUUAGGAUCCAAACUUUAUAACAAAUUCUUCAUUAUUCUUCUCAUUUAUUUUUGGGUUAUAAGAAGAACCACACAAUCUCUUGCUUAUUUACUGAUUCAUUCUUUCUUAAGCUGUUGAUUCGUAUACCUAUGUGGUGUGUACACUUACGCUGUCCAUAAUCUAUAACAGAAAAUUUACCUCCUAGUGUUUGCUUUUAUAACACUAAUCCAUCAAGGGAUAUUAGGUUAAAGGGUGGGGGUGGGAAUCAGAUUCUGUUUAUGUCCAAUAAACACACUGCCACAUGAAUCUUAUUUCAUUCACUUUCUAAACCUUUACUUUUUAUGGUGUGUAUAUCUGAUUUUUAAAAGGGUGAGAGUGAAAAACAGGUUUAGUAGUCUUGGAGUGGAGAAACUGUUGCAUAAAAGGAGUGGGCUUUGGGAUAUUAUGAAAAUCUCUGAUUUGCAGUGCUUUUUUCCUUAAAAAUGUUUAGGGUUACUCUCAUUUUGACUCAAGAAAAUCACCAUUUUAUAGUUCAAAUUGGGAAAAAUAAAUACAGUAAAUGGACAAAAGUACAAAGAUUCACAAAAUGUUUAGGGGUAUGUGUACCUUCAUGCCCCCAGAAAAAAAAGCACUGCUGAUUUGUAUACAAGAAAAAUAGUGUUAUGGGUUGUGGGGAUAAACUGUAUGCUUGAGUCCCUUCUAAUUCCUGCAUCCAACAGGAUUCAAUUGCUGCAAUAUUCAGGCAAGUUUCCUGGUAAUGGCUCACUAAUUAUGGGCCGUUAAGAUAACAUAGGAAGUGGCACUGUGCCAGAGGACAAAUGGGUGGGUCUCCCUCCCUCUGCUGUCUGUUAGUUAGAAAAACAAAAGCCAGAGUGGAGUUGUGUGUGAGAAGUGGAAGCAAGAAGCAGGCUGGGCAGCUGAGAGACAGAGCCACGCCUGAUUUCUGCUGGGAUCUAAGGCUGUGGCUAUGAGAGAGGCAAUACCUUAUUGGGAUGUGAAUGCUUUGAGCCCUUCUGUAGUAGGCUUAGGCUGUGUAUAUGUGUAAAUAAACCAUCUAUAAUAAAUACACCACAAUCUCUGCUGUCUCUCAUUCCAAGGAAACCAAACCCUGGCAUUUCUCGGAGAUUGGCUUGUAUUUUCUUGAUUUAUUAGCCUAGGACUUGCCGAUCAGAAGGUCGGUGGUUCGAAUCCCCGCAACAGGGUGAGCUCCCGUUGCUUAGUCCCUGCUCCUGCCAACCUAGCAGUUCGAAAGCACGUCAAAGUGCAAGUAGAUAAAUAGGUACCGCUCUGGCAGGAAGGUAAACAGUGUUUCUGUGUGCUGCUCUGGUUCGCCAGAAGCGGCUUAGUCAUGCUGGCCACAUGACCCGGAAGCUGUAUGCCAGCUCCCUCGGCCAAUAAAGCGAGAUGAGCGCUGCAACCCCAGAGUCGGCCACGACUGGACCUAAUGGUCAAGGGUCCCUUUACCUUUUAAAGUUCUUUAACAAUUUUCCCAUUGAACACCAUAUUAUUGUUUAAUUACUUCAAUGCAACUUGUGUGAUUACUAAUGCUUGGUGACUUGGCAAUUUCUUUCAUGUGAUUUGUUGUGAGCUUGCUUGUUCUAUCCAUGGUAUCAUGAAUAAACUUCAGAAGUACAUGUGCACAAAGUAGUUCCUCUGAUCUUGUUGACUCUAAAUGAAUACUGUUUUUAUAUACAUAUGACAAAAAUUCUUUCCAUUUUGAUAUUUUAUUUAAAAAAUAAAUUACCUUUUCAUACAGAACAUUUUUAGAUUAUUUGCAGACAUGUAGGAGGUGAAGAAUGACGACAAGCUUAAGUGGCUCUUCAUACAAUAAAAGUGAUUUGUUACAAAGAACACUAUAAUUAAGUAGAGGAUAAAUGAUAGAGAAAGGUACGAGGUGGGAAUUUUGUGGAUUAAUGGCCGCUAACUAGUUCUUUAGUCAAAAAACCAUUUAGCUGAUUACAUCAAGGGUGAGAGUUUGAAACCUUCAUAACUGCAGGAUAAAUAUUUCUUGAACUGUCAUCUGCCUAUCAUAUUCUGAAGUGCUGGGCAUGCUUAAUGAAAUUGGCAAGAAGUGUGAGGAACAGAUCAUUGCUCCAGAACUUCUAUUCUCUGCUGAAGAAUGCAUCUCUUUGCUGAGAUGCAUGGUCUGCAGUGCUAGUGUUGCUAAUAGAAUUGCUUUCCAGAGGGCUUUGUGCUGUCACAUAUACUUCACAUGUACAGAAAUGAUCGGCUGGAAUGCCUGCCAUGAGGGAUUAUUUUUGUAGCACAACUCAAUGAGCAAUAUUUUUGGACAUAGUAAUUUGUAGUGGAGCUUAUUUGGUUGUGCAUGGUCCUUGGGCAUUAGUUCUAGUAAGGACCAAUUGUGAGGUUUUCAUUGGAAAAAUCAUCAGACCAAGCAGAAAGUGGGUCUCAAGAGAUCAUGCAAUACCUGAAUGCUGUGAAAAUCCAGUGGACCUUAGAAUUACAGUAGAUUGUAAAUUAACUUUUAUAGAACAACUUCUGAUGUAGGGGGGAAAUGACCAAGAAAAAUAAAGGAAAUAAAUUGCAUUUCAACGGGACAGUAUGUGGACAUUGGUUCACUAUUGCUAUAGUCAAUGUGGCAUUUAGAUUACCUCCAAGCCUGGGUUCUCCGGGGCAUUCACCCCCAAGUACCUGUGGCAAUUGACAGGACUUAAGCAGCAUUUCUCUCAAGCUUGCUCACAUUUCACAAAGCCCAUAUCAGUGUAAGGUCAGCACAUCAGCAAUCAUGGCAGAUUCGUGGGGGCAAUUGACAGGUGUCUACUCACAGCUCCACUCUCACCUGAGCUGAGCACAUAAGGGACUCAACGGGCAGUUUCUGCUCACAACUGGAAAGGGUGUUGUCAAACGGCUGGAAUUUAUUUAUUGAAUGUACUCUCUAAGUGUACUUCCAGGUUUGUUCAUGCAACGGAUUGUAGCCAAUCAUAGUUUUCGCUAAACAUAGCGGAAAGCACUUAUACUUCUGUAAAUCUAGAUACACUGGCGGAGGAAAGUCCCAGGGGGGUGCGGUAGGUGCUGUUUGCCCUGGGUGUCAUCCCUGAGGGGGGGGGACAUUGCUGUGCCGCCCCCCUGGGCCGCUCGCUGCUUGUGUUACCCCCUUGGGCCUCUCUCGGCACACACCCGGGACACUCUCCGCUCUCCGUGGGUGGCUAGCUCUACCCCCUGGGUGCACAGCAUGUGUGCCGCUCUGGGUGCCAGAGCAGCUAGCUCCGCCUCUGUCUAGAUACCCAAUUUUAGCCAAUCUCCCUACCUGCUUAAGAUUCUAAGACUCAAGGGUUGUGAUGGAACAGAACAGAAUGUGCCACAGACGACUUUGUGGCUAAGGGGAAUCAGCUAAAGCCACCAUUGACUGCAACCCAAUGAUUAGUUUCCUUUACCAUAUCUUUUCUCUAAUUUUCCAAGGUUUAGUACAGUUUGGCUGGCGCUGGAGAAAAAAGUACUGUUGACUGUAUGUAUUUGUCUGGUGUCUGUUUACAGUGCUUUGUUGCUAGGACUUUAUUUUAGUUUUGUUAUCACAUUUCCUCCAAGCAGCUCGUGGCUGCAUACAUGGUCAUCCCCACAACAACAAAACUGAGAGAGAGUGAUCAGUCCAUGGUCUCCCAGCAAGCUUCAUCAUGGUUGGGUUGGGAUUGGCCUCUUCAGCCAUUGUCCAACAUUAUACCACACUAAUUCUCUGCAGCAUCCUUUUUUAAUGGCAUGAUUUCCCAUUAUUUCAUAGUCUAUUAUUUUCUCCCACAUUUAAUUAUAAUUGGGAUUUCUUUAAAAAUAUAUAUUUGGAUUGACAACUGGGCUAUUUCAUUCUUUGGCCUCAUUACAAGCAUGGAUGCUCCCUUUGUGCAUAUUCUGAUCUUUCCGAUUACUAUCUUGCUUAAAUUUGCUACAUUUAUGAAAUUUAGCAUUUGUAUCUCUGUCAUGUUUAAAACAGUACCUGUGAAUUUUAAAUGUAGCUUUAUUAUGACAGAUCCUUUUGUGCAGUUGGAUGACAGUUAAUUAAACAGGGACAAUAGCAGCAGGAGGAGACAGGCUCCUACAUUUAAUGAGAGAAACAAAGGAACAGCCAGAGACAUGGAUGAAUGAUUAUUUAGUUCACUGGCAAUGCCAGUUAGGAUCAUGGCCCCAUAGUGAAAAGCGUUCCCUGCUUAUAUGUGACAAAUGCAAGAGGAUUUACUAGCAUGCACCUCAGUCCUACUUGGUGUGGGGGGCUCUCUAAUGCCAAGCUCCCUAUAGGGGCCAUACACAAAAACAGCAGGGUAACAAGUGGCAGAGGAUCUUUCUUUCUUUCUUUCUUUCUUUCUUUCUUUCUUUCUUUCUUUCUUUCUUGAUCAUAGAUCUCAAAAUAGCAGUACUUUCAUCUUUGGGCCAGUCCUAUUCAAAUGAGUAAGGACAACUGAACAAGCAGCAAAGCUUCGCUCAGCAGAUUCAAAAGAAUCUUCUGCACAAAGAACAAAAAACGAACAGCUUCCUGGUGAAGGAAAACAAACGAGUCUUUCCCCUUUCUCAAGCAGAAAACUUGAGAUACAUCUUCCCUCAAGAAGUCUGGAAGUAUACUUAGCUAACUAUCAACUUAAAUACCAGAAAGGUCAUAGCUCCCCGCAAAGAAUUAUGGAAACUGUAUUUUGGUGAAGAUGCUGAGAAUAAGAGAAUAAGAAAAUAAGAGCAAUCUUUUUUCUCCUGCUCUGGAGGUAGGACUCGAACCAAUGGCUUCAAGUUACAAGAAAGGGGAUUCCAACUAGACAUCAGGAAGAACUUUCUGACAGUAAGAGAUAUUUGACAGUGGAACAGACUCCCUUGGGAGGUUGUGGGUUCUGCUUCAUUGGAUUUUUUAAAGCAGAGAUUGGAUGGCCACCUGUCAUGUAUGUUUAAUUGAGAUUCCUGCAUUGCAGGAGGUUGGACAAGAUGACUCUCAGGGACCCUUCCAACUCUGCAAUUCUAUGAUUCUACAGUUUCCAAGAGUACCUAAAGAGAGAGAAAAUUAAACCAGUUUCUGUAGUGUAGAUCGCUCUAAUUUCUUCCAUUGAAUCCAGGUGUCUUCCCUGAAAUGCUGCUGUUGUGGAAAUAUCAACAUCUCCAAGCAUGCAAGCAGAAACCUCUCUCAACUGCAAAUUUUCUACCAAUGGCAGUUCAUAUAUUUGCUCAUUUUCAAGCACUGGUGCAUGUCACCACCAUGAUAUAAAUGAUGCUGUUGGCACUGCUAGCAUCCAGCAGACCUGUGGCUGCACAGUGAUGAGUUAACAAUUAUGCCUUGAUUAUACAACAACCUUUCAUUUGCUAACUUGCAUUCUAUCCCUGGCAGGUCUUCUGCCAACAUUCCUUCAGUGUUGCACCUCCUCUUUUUCCUCCAUUGUUAUGAUUUUAUGUUGUGCUUUUCAGCUCUCAAAAAAGCACAUUAAUUUCAUUGAUUGGCAUCUGAUUUGUACAGCUGAGAUCUUAGUCAGAAAGAGCUUAGAAGCCUUGGCUGCUUUAUAAAAUUCUCCCACAAAUCUUUGUUUCUCUCUGGAACGGUCUUUUAAUCACAGCUCUGUAGCACCCCUCAUCAUCUAUCCCAGGGAUGGGGGAACCUGUGGCCUCCAGACGGAACUCUUAAUUCUCAUUGGCCUCAGCCAGCAUCAGCUUGACCAUAGAAUCAUAGAAUCAUAGAAUCAUAGAAUCAUAGAAUCAUAGAGUUGGAAGAGACCACAAGGGCCAUCGAGUCCAACCCCCUGCCAAGCAGGAAACACCAUCAGAGCACUCCUGACAUAUGGUUGUCAAGCCUCUGCUUAAAGACCUCCAAAGAAGGAGACUCCACCACACUCCUUGGCAGCAAAUUCCACUGUCGAACAGCUCUUACUGUCAGGAAGUUCUUCCUAAUGUUUAGGUGGAAUCUUCUUUCUUGUAGUUUGGAUCCAUUGCUCCGUGUCCGCUUCUCUGGAGCAGCAGAAAACAACCUUUCUCCCUCCUCUAUGUGACAUCCUUUUAUAUAUUUGAACAUGGCUAUCAUAUCACCCCUUAACCUCCUCUUCUCCAGGCUAAACAUGCCCAGCUCUCUUAGCCGUUCCUCAUAAGGCAUCGUUUCCAGGCCUUUGACCAUUUUGGUUGCCCUCCUCUGGACACGUUCCAGUUUGUCAAUGUCCUUCUUGAAGUGUGGUGCCCAGAACUGGACACAGUACUCCAGGUGAGGUCUGACCAGAGCAGAAUACAGUGGCACUAUUACUUCCCUUGAUCUAGAUGCUAUACUCCUAUUGAUGCAGCCCAGAAUUGCAUUGGCUUUUUAGCUGCCGCGUCACACUGUUGGCUCAUGUGAAGUUUGUGGUCAACCAAGACUCCUAGAUCCUUUUCACAUGUACUGCUCUCAAGCCAGGUGUCCCCCAUCUUGUAUUUGUGCCUCUCAUUUUUUUUGCCCAAGUGCAAUACUUUACAUUUCUCCCUGUUAAAAUUCAUCAAUGGCCAGGAAUGAUGGAACUUGUAGACCAGCAAUAUCUAGAGGAUCACAUGUUCUUUGUCCCUGAUCUAGGCUGAUAUUGAACACAAAUGUUGGGCUAUCACGGCUAUAUAGCAAAAAAUGGGUUACUGAGAAAUAAAUUGGAAGUAUCAGCAUGCUCAGGUAAACCACUAAAACAACUCAGUGAGUACUGCAUUUGCUCAGGGACUACAGAACAUUAGAUGGUGGUGUGAUAGAAUGUGGUAUUAUGAAACAAUGAAUGAGUGGUCCACCUUGCAGCAUUUUGUUGCAGGUUAAUCCCACUUGUCCUUUUUUGUCAGCCACUUAAUCCCCUCCUCUGCCUUCCCAUUAACCCUGCAUCAGACCCUACCAUAAAUUAUUUCCGCUAUAUUCUCUACCUGAUCUCCAUUUGCCCCACAAGCAGGCUAGCUUUGUUAGACUUCGUUUCAGUUGACUUCUCUCUAACUCACACGUUGCAGUUUUUGCUGCUAGGUUCCUGAUUUCAGAUAUCUACCAUCGGCUUCCGAAAUGAGACCUGCUUCAAGCUAUACUGCCUGUAGGUUUUGUACACUUCUGAUUUAGUAUUAUUGUGAAUCCCCCUGUGUUUUUCUCCAUGGAACAUCCAAGAUGACAAGACUAGCGGCCGAGGAUCAGCAGACAGGGCACUUUGGGUUAUGGGGCAGGGUAUUCUCUUCCUCUUUGAAGUUUUCCGUAUCUACUCCCUUUAAUUCUAGCUCAUACAUCAAAGGGCAUCUAUGAAAUUAUAAUGAGCUAGCUGGAAAGGGAAAGAACAGGAGUGCAAGAGUGCAGGGAAAUGAGUCAAUGUUCCAGGAUAAUUAUUUAAAUAAAAUUGUUGCCCUGUAGGCUGUAAAUUAAAGAGCAUAUUAACAUAGUGUACAUCCUAUUUAAGAUUUUUUUGUGUGUGUGCCUCUGACUGCAGUACACCACUGCUGCAUUUGCACGUAAUAACAAGCUAAAGACCUUGAGUUAAUAAAUCAUACUGUGCGCAGCCUGUAUGCUGGUGCACACAGCCCAUCCCUCUUGCUUCACUCAGGUAGGCAAAUCAGGAAACAGAGAGUUUAGCAUUCCUUCUGAGACCAGGAUUGUUGUUUCUGCCUAACAUACCAGGACUACUAGCCAGCCUAUAACCAAGUUUUGAUGUUGGUUUACAUAUCUUGGCUUGUAAAGGAGAAACAAUCCAUGAUCCUGUAUUUGGAUAUCAUACUAAGCUCUCUUCUUCCUGCCUCAUAUACUCACUCAUACAAAAGGAAGGAGUGAGUGAAGCAGAAGUGAUUGGGCUGCAUGCACAGAAUAGAUUAUUAAGCCAAGCUUCUUGGUUUACUAUUUUGUGUGGGUCUACCUACGCAUCUGUGCCUGUCCGCAAUCUGUAAAAGGAAUGGCUGGGCACAUUAUGGUGAGAAAGCAGUAACACUAAACGGCCAUCCCGCUGGAGAAUGUUACCUAGAGGCAGGCGUGGACCCUUUCCGAUAUACCUGACUUUGCCAUCCUUCUAAAUUUAGAACACCAAAUUGUCUGUUUUCUUCUCUAAAUCCCUUUUUCUAAUGGAUGCUGUAGUUGAGAUUCCUGCAUUGAAGGAGAUUGGACUAGAUGACCCUCAAGGUGCCUUCCAACUCUACAACUCUGAUUCUAUUAUUCUAAUUCCACCUCCUUCGGCAGGUGAUUGCUGUGACACUUAUGGAUGCACGAACACAUUACUAUUAAAGAUUAUCAUAAAAGGUAAUGGUUAGUAACCAUCAUGCCUUUCACUUGUCAAAAAUUGCCAGAUCAUUAAUACUAAGAUAAUAUAUUAAUUAACCAGAGACUUUAAUGGGGGGAAACUUAGCCGCACUAAUCCUUUUAUUACUAAAACCACCUGAAGGAAAUAUAACACAUGGCAUGCAAUUAAAAUAGGUACCCUUCAGUUACUUGAGAUUUCCCUCUUUUUCUCUUAGAUUUUAUACACACACACACACACACACACACACACACACAAUCAGUGCAUUUCUGUCCAACAAGACAUUGGGUAGGAUCUGAAGAGCUAUAUGUACUUCCACAGUAAAGGAGUUUACACAAUGUCUGCCCAUUCUACGAUUGGUUCCACGCCCUCUGCUCCCCCCCUCCCAAUUGUCCUAUCACAGCCCAUAAGUUUGAAAAGCCUCCUUGCCUCACAGAACUGGUUUUAUCUUUCUUAUGUAAAAGAGAUAUUAUUAAUUUAAAUAAUAUUGAUUAAAUGUAGCCAUAAAAAUGAUGAAGUGUGUUACAAGGAAAUUAUAACACAAUUAGCCAAAAUACAAAUAGCUGCUGUUUACCCUUUUCCUCAUGUUUCUUGCAAUAGAAUAAUGUGUGUGUGUGUGUGUGUGUGUGUGUGUGUGUGUGUAAGUUAUACAGUAUUUUGUUUUAUGCAGUGUUACCUGAUGUCUAAGAGACUAUGGUUGAAUGCAGCUCUUGAGCAAAAUCAUGUGACAGCAUCUUUCUGCAAUUUCCCACUUUAGACUACAGGUAAGUGGUAUUUAUUUAAAGAACUCCAACAUUUAAAUUAAUAGAUAAUAAACAUUAGGCAGCUGAGGGAUAUAUGUUAUUUUGUAUAUGCAGAAGAGAUUAUUUUAAAAAUAAAUAUACCAUCCUUAAAACACACCUCCCAUAUAUUUGAUGCUAUACAGUAAGGAAAUAAUUCUGCCACAUGAUUUUGGUGAAUGCAUAGUUUUGCUCUUCAAGCAAAAUAAUGAAGUGGUUGGAGCACUUGCUUUGUGAUGUGGAAACAUCACAGCUUUAGCUGGAAAAGAAACUAGGGGGAGACAUGAUAGGAUCUUAAUGAAGCCCUUUGCUUACAUCACCCAAAGUUAAUAAGAAGAUGUGAUUGCUUGUAGCUACAGUGUAGGCAGCACAUGUACAUUUUAUGUGGAGACAGGCAAAAUGAUUUCCCCUGAACCAGCCAGCAGAAUGUAGGAUCAAAGCCCAGUGAGACUGGAAUGAUAAAUUCCACAUCAAACACAACGCCUCCCAUAACUGCUUAUGAAUUCACCCCUCACACAUCUUAAGCUAAACAUUGAAAUGAAAUGCUUGGGAUAUCAUUCAUGAUUUGUCAGAACUGUACAGUCAAAUGGUGGAAGUGUGUGUGUGUGUGUAUGUACACAGGCUGGUUUUUCACAGCAGUUAUUUGAUAAGGAAGGAACAGAGAGCAGUUGCAGUUGCUAUAGACCAGGCAUAGGCAAACUCGGCCCUCCAGAUGUUUUGGGACUACAUCUCCCAUCAUUCCUGACCACUAGUCCUGUUAGCUAGGGAUGAUGGGAGUUGUAGACCCAAAACAUCAGGAGAGCCAAGUUUGCCUAUGCCUGCUAUAGACCAACACUAAACUAUAACAAAUGAGGAAUGUGUGGGUACAUUUUACUCAAUGCAUAGGUCAAAGAUCUGAGCAUGUGCAGAGACCUGACAUAUUCUGCACAUACAGAGGUUUUCAGCCAUUUUGUUAGGUAGUCUGGGUCCUCAUGUCUUGUUCUGGGGCAGAAGAGCCUAUGGACACUCUGGAAGGCAGGAGAUCUAACCAAAAGUUCAGGGCAGUGGUUCCCAGUUGGUGGUCUGCAGACCCCAGGGGUCCAUGCAUGACACUAUUCUCAUAACAAAAACUACCAUAGAGCUCUCAUAGUUUUCAAAAGUAGGGGAUUUAUUGUUUGGCUUUUGAAAAACAGGUCUGCAGUACUUAGCUAAUUGAGAACCAUUGGCAAACCUCUGCAGAGAUAUCAGAUUUCUGAAUUAGAAAGUUUUAGCAGCUGAACAGGACAAGAAACCUGAGAAAGUGAGGAAAAGAAGAACAAAGGACUGAUUAUGACACGGAAAGAACAACGGGAGGAGUGGUAAAGAUCAAGGAAAUUAAAGGCCUUUGUUAGAUUGGACACUUGAAGUUACAUAUUAUUAAUAAAUUAAAAGAAAACCGGCAAGAUGGAAUCGGGGAGAAAUUUGGUCAUGAAUUGAGACUUCCAAGCUGAUAAUGCACAGACUGAUGGAUAUGGGGAAUUCAAACCGGGAAGGGGGAGAUUAGAAAUACAAAGGCUGUGUAAACAUCUUUUGAAGUUUUCUAUAUCUUUUAAAAUUUAAUUUUAUACAAAAAUUAAGCAUGUCAUUUAAAUUUGAUUUGACGUGUUUAAAAAAAGGGAAUUCGUGGAAGGAACGGGGGUGGAUCUUGGGGAAAAUCUUUUUCUUUUCUUGUUAAUGAUGUGGGACGGUGGUAAGAUUUGUACAAUUCAAUUUGGAUAGUGGGUUAAACAAAUUAAGCUUCAAAUUGGGAGUGAGAGCUUGUAGAACUAAAUUAAGGAAAGGGAAUACAGUCGGGGGAGGGGAGUCCCAGAAAGUAGGCAAUGAAAGUACGGUUUUUAAAUAUCUUUUUUUCUUUUCUUUUUUUCUUUGUAUUUUUAUAUUUUUGGAAACUUUAAUAAAUAUGAUUUAAAAAAAAAAAAAAAAAGAGAACCAUUGGUCUAGACUCUAGGAUAAUAACAGGAACCAGGUUCAAUGGAUAGGCCUGUAUGAUCACCACAAGCCGAGACAAACAGCAUUAUUAUAAGGGUUGGUUCAUUUUGCCCCAUGUCAUUAUUAUUAUUUUUUUAAAUGAUAUUUAUUGAAAAUUUUAGAAUUACAAAAGAAAACAAAGAAGAAGAAAAAAGAAAGAAAAAACAGAGAAAAGACAAACCACAAUCAAACAAUACAGAUUAAUAAAAAUCAAGAUGGAGCCCAAAGAGAAAUAGUUUACACUGUUUUAGCGGUAGGGGUGAUAGAGGUAAUUUUAGGUAUACCAAAAAAGUAUCAAGUGUUAUAACAAUUGCAAUAAAACAAAACCAGAACACCAAUCCGGCUUGCAAAUAUAAAGGACAAUUUUACUUAGUUCAGCAAAUUAUCAGCAAAUUAAAGUGCAACGUGCAUAUCAAAGCCUGGAGAUACUUAUAGACAUACAGUCAACUAGUGGAACAACUCUGCCAAUAAUGCAUAUAGUAAUAGUGUCAUAGCACAGUUGAAACAAGCAAAUCGUUCUACAGUUAGUUAUCUACUGGAAGUGCAAAGUCCUGUAAGUGGGAACGGUUGCAAAAAAGGGUUCUCCACAUGGCCAUAUGUAGAGGGAGGGGUCAUACGUAAGUAGUAGUUGCAGACGGGCACCUCUUCACCGUCCCACGGCGAAAGUAAUACAAUAGAUCAGAAGACCUGUACAGCAAGUGCCUGUGAUGUUAUUAUAUUCUUGGUGUUUCAUGUUGAGUGUAUAGUAUUAUGGACUGAUGAAGCUGUUGCAAAGCCUGCUUAACAUCUGGAUUACAAGAGUACAGUAUGAUAUGCACGUUGCACUUUAAUUUGCUUAACUAAGUAAAAUUGUCCUUUAUAUUUGCAAGCCGGUUUGGUGUUUUGGUUUUGUUGUAUUGUAGAGGUAAUUUUAGGGCAGUACAACCAGUACCCCCUUACUGGGCGCUGAGCAGAGGACCCCCGGUUAGCACUUCCCCACCUACAGGAAGGAGGCAUGAAGCCUCUGACAGGGUCCUAGAGACCCCCUCCUCCUUCCUGAAUCCUAGUUAGUGCUUCUUCAGCUUUGGGAAGGAGGUAAUAGGGCUCUAUGACCCUGCCAAAGCCCUCAUGCCUCCUUCCCAAAGCCUGGCACUGCACGAGGGGUGGGAGUAGGUGCCAAUUUUUGGCCCAGCUCAGGAUGCCUUAGUACCAAAGUCUGCCUCAGGGGGUGAUCAUGGCAGCAGCUGGGUUUCCUCCCAGUCUUCCAUUUUUAUUUCUUAAACCAGAUUGAAUAAAAGUCUCCAGCGGAUCUUAGUUUCACAGAGUUGGCAGCACAGCAACAGACCCCGUGUACUUUGGUGGUCUGUCUUUUCAGGAACCUAGUGGGAUUUAUUCCACUUGAUUGGUAGUGAGUUUUCAAAUUGCCCAUGCAGUUCCAUUUCAAAUGGUUCCAUUGAGCCAGAGUAAGUCACCCCAGCUUUUAGAAAGCUUUUAAACCGAAGAUUGUUUUAAUCUUAAGAGAGUUACCUGAAUUAUUAUCUUUUAAUGUUUUGCCAGCUUUGCCUGCCGUGACCUUCACUCAGUAUUAAUCUUCAAGGAACCAACCUGACACAUUCCAGCAGCUCAUCAAUUUUAACAUCCUCAAAAGGUUAAUAGCCUCAGAAGCAUCUCUUUUUUUCUUCUGAAAAUUCACUGAUCUAGAUUUUGCUCUAUGAUUGUGGCAUAAAUUGGUCUUAGUCCACUGAAUCCUGGAAAGCUUUUUACCAAGCUGCAUUGUUGAUAGUGCAUAGCAAUAAUAUAGGGGGAAAAAUUCUUACAGACUCAUUUAAUACAAACAUGGCGGAAUAAGGUGGGGGGUGUAUUAAAUAACUGUGGUUCUAGACAGCAUUUCUUCUGGUCUGAUUCAAGGCAUCGGUGAAUUAGACUACAUUCAAAGCCCACUGAACAUUAGCAGCCGGAAUCCCAUAUGAUUUAAUUUCAUAUUUUUAAAUGAUAUUGUAAAUUGUACCUUUACAAAGAUAAAUUGACCAAUUCUGUCUCCUCUUCAAUUUUCCCUCUCUUUUUCAUGCGCACUUCGAAUUUGUAAGCACUACCUAGUAAGCAGAUAAUUGCAUGAAAAUAGGAGUCCACCUUCAUUUUCAUAUUUCAUUUCCUUUGUAAAGGAGUCUUAGGCAAGACGUCAGAGGCAGCCUACUGUUGAAACAGAAUUGUGUGCCAUGAUGGAAGUACAGUCAUUCAUGGGGGCACACUUUAGUAAUCAGAAGAAAAUUACAUUCUUCACAAUUGCUGUCCCUGCUCAUCACAUUAUAUGUGCCUAGUAGGAUAUCUGCAGACAUAAGAGUACAAGAAAGAAAGUUGGGCCAAUCCAUUAACAAAAAACACCUCCAAUCUUGUAGCCACCAGUAAAGGGG